rnacentral:lncRNA from 1 species
CAGAAUUUUCAACUGGAGGAAAUCAAUGAAGUUUGAUUAAUUUUAAAAGAGCUGAGAAUAUUUCCAUCAGAGUAAACAAUCAGAUCUUGGUAGAGAAGACGACAGAGCUGGCCCAUACAUGCAUACUCAAAAAAGGACUUGGUCUAAGGAGUGAAGUGCAAUACGUGAAAAAAAAACAGAACGCUCUACCCAGACCCUUUUCUGUGCAGGCUGAGAAACUGAGCUACAGAAGGAUUCAAAGGCAUAGUUUCUCAUGGAUCAUCCUUCACUGCUAUUCACACCGUUCGCUCUGCUGAAUGAAAAGUUUUUUGCAUUUCUGGUGUCUGUGUGGAGGGGUCUGCAAGCAAACAGCAUGUCCUGCCAGACAGC